UGGGGAAUUUUGGACAAUGGGGGAAACCCUGAUCCAGCCAUCCCGCGUGUGCGAUGAAGGCCUUCGGGUUGUAAAGCACUUUUGGCAGGAAAGAAACGUCGCGGGUUAAUACCCCGCGAAACUGACGGUACCUGCAGAAUAAGCACCGGCUAACUACGUGCCAGCAGCCGCGGUAAUACGUAGGGUGCAAGCGUUAAUCGGAAUUACUGGGCGUAAAGCGUGCGCAGGCGGUUCGGAAAGAAAGAUGUGAAAUCCCAGAGCUUAACUUUGGAACUGCAUUUUUAACUACCGGGCUAGAGUGUGUCAGAGGGAGGUGGAAUUCCGCGUGUAGCAGUGAAAUGCGUAGAUAUGCGGAGGAACACCGAUGGCGAAGGCAGCCUCCUGGGAUAACACUGACGCUCAUGCACGAAAGCGUGGGGAGCAAACAGGAUUAGAUACCCUGGUAGUCCACGCCCUAAACGAUGUCAACUAGCUGUUGGGGCCUUCGGGCCUUGGUAGCGCAGCUAACGCGUGAAGUUGACCGCCUGGGGAGUACGGUCGCAAGAUUAAAACUCAAAUGAAUUGACGGGGGUCAUAGCUGUUUUUCCU
rnacentral:rRNA from 1 species